GAUGAACGCUGGCGGCGUGCUUAACACAUGCAAGUCGAACGAAGAGUUUGCGACAGAUUUUUUCGGACUGUAGUUGCUUAUGACUGAGUGGCGGACGGGUGAGUAACGCGUGGGUAUCCUGCCUUGUCGUGGGGGAUAGCAGCUGGCAACGGCUGGUAAUACCGCAUAAGCGUCCAAUGUUGCAUGACAUGGUGUGGAAACCUCGAGUGGUAUACGAUGGACCCGCGCCGGAUUAGCUAGUUGGGGAGUUAACAGGCCACCAAGGCGACGCUCAGUAGCCGACCGGAGAGAGUGGCCGGCCACAUCUGCACGGAGACACGGCCCAGACUCCUACGGGAGGCAGCAGUGCGUAAUAGUGCACAAUGGAGGAAACGCUGAUGCAGCGACGCCGCGUGAGUGAAGAAGUAAUUCGUGAAGUAAAGCGCAAGCAGCAGUGAAGAUAGUGACGGUACCUGACGAAGAAGCUCCGGCUAAAUACGUG
rnacentral:rRNA from 1 species